rnacentral:rRNA from 1 species
GACGAACGCUGGCGGCGUGCCUAACACAUGCAAGUCGAGCGAAGUGAGUACUACGGUACGAACUUAGCGGCGGACGGGUGAGUAACGCGUGGACAAUCUACCCUGUAGACUGGGAUAACACCUCGAAAGGGGUGCUAAUACCGGAUAAUGUCGAGAAGCGGCAUCGCUUUUCGAAGAAAGGAGAGAAUCCGCUAUAGGAGGAGUCCGCGUCCCAUUGGCUAGUUGGGGAGGGUAACGGCCCACCAAGGCGACGAGGGGUAGCCGGCCUGAGAGGGUGAACGGCCCCACUGGAACUGAGCAACGGUCCAGACUCCGAAGGGAGGCAGCAGUGGGGAAUAUUGUGCAAUGGGGGAAACCCUGACACAGCAACGCCGCGUGAGCGAAGAAGGCCUUCGGGUUGUAAAGCUCAAUAGUAUGGGAAGAUAAUGACGGUACCAUACGAAAGCCCCGGCUAACUACGUGCCAGCCGCCGCCGUAACAC